GACGAACGCUGGCGGCGUGGAUUAGGCAUGCAAGUCGAACGGUAUCAUCCUUUCGGGGGUGAGAGAGUGGCGAACUGGUGAGUAACACGUAGGUUAUCUACCCUCAAGACGGGGACAACCCAGGGAAACUUGGGCUAAUACCGGAUGUGAGCAACUUUUAGUUGUUUGAAAGGUGGCGUAAGCUGUCGCUUGGGGAUGAGCCUGCGUCCUAUUAGUUAGUUGGUGAGGUAACGGCUCACCUAGGCAAUGAUAGGUAGGCGGCCUUAACGGGUGGUCGCCCACACUGGGAUUGAGAUACGGCCCAGACUCCUACGGGAGGCAGCAGUCGAGAAUAGUCUACAAUGGCCGAAAGGCUGAUAGUGCGACGCCGCGUGAACGAAGAAGCCCUUCGGGGUGUAAAGUUCUUUUAUAUGUGAGCAGUGCUUUCUAUGUGAACAGCAUGGGGAGAGAGAUAUUAGCAUAUGAAUAAGCAACGGCUAACUCCGUGCCCAGCCGCCGCGGUAAA
rnacentral:rRNA from 1 species